CAGCCGCCGCGGUAACACCAGCCCCUCGAGUGGUGGGGAUGAUUAUUGGGCCUAAAGCGUCCGUAGCCUGCCGUGUAAGUUUCCCGUUAAAUCCAGCGUCUUAAGCGUUGGACCGCGGGAAAUACUGUACGGCUAGAGAGUGGGAGAGGUCAGCGGUAUUCUGGGGGUAGGGGCGAAAUCCUUUGAUCCCCGGAGGACCACCAGUGGCGAAGGCUGCUGUCUAGAACACGUCUGACGGUCAGGGACGAAAGCUGGGGUAGCGAACCGGAUUAGAUACCCGGGUAGUCCCAGCCGUAAACGAUGCAUGCUAGGUGUUGGGUUGGCCACGAGCCACCCCAGUGCCGCAGGGAAGCCGUUAAGCAUGCCGCCUGGGAAGUACGAUCGCAAGGUUGAAACUUAAAGGAAUUGGCGGGGGAGCAC
rnacentral:rRNA from 2 species